ensembl:lncRNA novel transcript
GGAUUACAACCCACAAGUCUGGUUAUUUUAGCAGGAAACUGGUGAUUCCUUUUCUACCGAGAAAGCAAGCAACAGACAAGAGGAAACCAGCAUUCCUUGAGAAUCCAGUGCGCUAGAAACUCGACAGAAAUUAUCUUAUCUAAUUCUCACAUCACUCUUAGGAGGCAGACAUUAUUUUGCAGAUGAGGAAAAUGGAUCUCCCAGAAGUCAAAGAGCUUCCUCAGGAUCACACAGCAGGAACUCCACAGAACUGAGAUUCAAAAGCAGAUCACAUAUGUGGCAAAAUUGCAUAGAACUGAAUAUACACUCACAAAUGAGAGCACGUGAAACUCAUGAAAUUUGAAUAAGACAUUUGGACUACACUAAUGUCCAUUUACUGAUUGUAAUAUUGUUCUACAGUUAUGCAAAAUGUUACCAUUGAGAAAAAUUAAGUGAAGCGUCUAUAGGGAAUCUCUCUAUUAUUCCUUACAACUUCAAGCGAAUUUACAGUUACCUCAAAAAAUUUUUUUAAAAAUUUUAAACAUCUCAGUCUUAUUCAAAAGCCCAGGCUCUCUUCUUUCAACACGGUAUAUAAGCGUGCCUGCAGAAUAAGAGAGAUUUAUGCUCCUCUCUCCUUUUUAAACAGUCUUGAAUAAGUACACAUACACACACAAACACACACUCAUACACUGUAUGCAUGGUUGUUCAGUCAUCCAGUAAUAUGAUACAACACACACACACACACACGCAGUUCAUUAAGAGGAUAGCUAACCUGUUACCAGAAUACUUACAUAGAGGUCAUCUUGUAAGACAGACAAUAAUGCUCACUGGGCACUAAAACAGCCAACAGUCUUGGAAGCCUUUGAAACCUGGUGUGUGCUUGGCACUUGCAGCACAUCUCAGUUCAGACCAGCCACACGGGGCUACUGGCUGCCACAAACGCAGUGUCAGAACAAGAAGAGGAUUCGGAAUCUGUCCAGCCCAACUCCAUUAUGGUUAAAGGAAAGCUGUGUUCAGGAAGGUCUGCUGCCCCGCUCAGGAUCACACAGUGGAUGCAUGACAGCCUUAGGCCUGACCUGUCCACCUCAGCACUCGCCUACUGAGAGGGCUCAUGGCUGACUCAGACAGCUGCCAUGGAAUGAAACCCAGUGUUUACUAACAUUUUUAAACAAUCACCAUCCUCUAAGUCAUUGGCCCCUCAAAAUAUGGUUAGACAUACAAUUUCUAAAGAAAAUAGCCCAAUAUAUACUAUUUUGUUUUCUUUUUUCCCUUUCUUUCUUUGUUUCUUUUCUUCUUUCUUUAUCUUUCUUUCUUUCUUUUUUUUUUUUUUGAAACAGAAUCUCAUUCUGUUGCCUAGGCUGGAGUGCAGCAGUGCAAUCUCGGCUCACUGCAACCUCCGCCUCCCAGUUUCAAGCGAUUCUCCUGCCUCAGCCUCCAAAGUAGCUGGGACUACCUCGCCCAGCUAAUUGUCGUUGUUGUUGUUGUUGUUGUUGAGACGGAGUUUCACUCUUAUUGCCCGGGCUGGAAUGCAAUGGCGCAAUCUUGUCUCACCGCAACCUCUGCCUCCUGCGUUCAAGCGAUUCUCCUGCCUCAGCCUCCCAUAAUUUUUGUAUUUUUAGGUACAGACAGGGUUUCACCAUGUUGGCCAGACUGGUCUCAAACUCGACCUCAAGUGAUCCGCCCACCCCAACCUCCAAAAGUGCUGAGAUUACAGGCGUGAGCCACCGCACCUGGCCCCAGUAUAUACUAUUUUAAUACUUAGAAAUGACAACCCCGUAGGCCGUUUGUUAAAGCACACCCCACCCGUUUUUGACUCAGCUGUAUUGGCAUCUGAAGGGUACCAGCAGAGGGAGGGUUGGAGGCCAAGAAGGCAGUAGCUGCUGGGCCUUGCCCGUCCUCCAGGAAUGCGUGGAAGGAGUGCUUCUCCGUCCUCCAUCCUCCAUCCCACCCACAUCAGCUCCUGCCAGCAUCCCAAGGACCCAAGCUGUCUGCCAUGAUUAGUAUCAAAGGCCUUAAAAUAACUGAGUGACCUUUUUUUUCCACUCUACACACUUUGUAGUGCUUUAUAUUCUGAAUCAAGCCAAAGCCAAAAUCCAAGAAAAGUGACCAUUUCAAAAACAGAAAAUGAGCCCACUAGGAAGAGAGCAUUGCUUUCAAUAAUGAGAACAUUUGGGAGUAAACUGAAUAAUGAGGACAUCUUUGCACCUGGACUGAUGAGAAAACGAUUAGAUAGGGCAUUACAAAAAGCAACAUAAAGAUCUUUGAUUUGCAUUUGUUGUCAACUGUGAGAGAAUGGGUAUAAUUCUCUAAAGACGUAGUUUAGACCUCUUUGUACUAAAAUAUAAAGUCAAAGUGAUGAUAAAUCUUAUGGCAGUGGGCUCUGUGAGUCAUGUUUCACUCUACAUAAAAUGUCUUAGAGGCUGAAGUGCUGGGGCUAUCCUGAUACCCAAA